rnacentral:rRNA from 1 species
GAUGAACGCUGGCGGCGUGCCUAAUACAUGCCAGUCGAGCGAACGGACGAGAAGCUUGCUUCUCUGAUGUUAGCGGCGGACGGGUGAGUAACACGUGGAUAACCUCCCUAUAAGACUGGGAUAACUUCGGGAACCCGGAGCUAUUACCGGUAAUUUCUUUGAACCGCAUGGUUCAACAGUCAAAGACGUUCUUGCUGUCACUUAUAGAUGGAUCCGCGCUGCAUUAGCUAGUUGGUGAGGUAACGGCUUACCAAGGCAACGAUGCAUAGCCGAUCUGAGAGGGUGAUCAGCCACACUGGAACUGAGACACGGUCCAGACUCCUACGGGAGGCAGCAGUAGGGAAUCUUGCACAAUGGGCGAAAGCCUGACGGAGCAACGCCGCGUGAGUGAUGAAGGUCUUCGGAUCGUAAAACUCUGUUAGUAGGGAAGAACAUAUGUGUAAGUAACUGUGCGCAGCUUGACGGUACCUGAACAGAAAGCCACGGCUAACUCCGUG